CGGCCCUUCCCCCAACCCCUGCUCUUUAAUUGUCUCAUUUGUCAUGUUAACGUUACAAUGACUGAAAAGAGACAGGGAAAAUUCUCUCCUCGGCCGCUUCUCCUUGAAAAGCUUUUUUUCCUCCGAUGUCAGAUGCCUCUAUGAUAUUCAGAACAGUGGAUUUUAAUGAAUUCUCUGGGGUCUGACAAGAAGAUAUGAACCUGGACCAUGGAAAUUACUCAAAAAUACGGAAAACUAGACCAGUUCUAGACAUGCAGCACCAUUUUGAUGAAAGGGUUUACAUGUUUACACUUGUAAAAAUUAUGAGAGAAAAAAAGGGUAUUUUUUCUACCUGAAUUUAUGACACAGGCAUGAGAAAGAAAGAGGGUAUCUGAUCUGUAUAUUACCAAUUCCACAGAGGUCUUUCUUGUGCAAUUCAAUGGACAAUUUAAGCAUCUCUCAUUAAUGCAAGAACUGUGAACUCCUGCAAAAGAUGCUGAAGUACCUAGGGGUGCUAUAUGUGUUGUUUUAAAAGUGAUGAUGGUAUGUAAUGAUAAACUUAAUUAGCGGCCCUUCCUUACCUACAAACUAAUCUCGCAGUAUUUCAGGUUAAAUUGUAAAGGAUAAAAGGGACAAUACCAAAACCUAGUUUGGGGUUCACUUUCAUAAUACAAUACAUCCAGUGGUCAACACUGAUAUGGGGUCAGGUGAUAUGUCAGUAUGGAUGUAAUAGUCCUCCUGACUUUCCAAGAGCACAUAAAAAGCACCAACCGAUCAUGGCCGUUGCCAGCCUCCCCUGGUACCUGUGCCAGUGGCACGUAAAAAGCACCAUCUGUACGUAGCCGAUGCCAGCGCCGCGCCAGUGGCACGUAAAAAUCACCAACCGAUCAUUGCUGUUGCCAGCCCCCCCCGGCACCUGUGCCGGCGGCACGUAAAAAGCACCCACUACACUCAUGGAGUGGUUGGUGUUAGGAAGGGCAUCCAGCUGUAGAAACACUGCCAGAUCUGACUGGAGCCUGGUGCAGCCUCCUGGCUUCCCAGACCCCGGUCAAACCGUCCAACCCAUGCUAGCACGGAAAACGGACGUUAAAUGAUGAUGAUGAUGAUAAAAUAAUCCCGGAACUAUGUUUUGUAGUGGAAAGCAAGAAGAAAGCCUUCUGGAUGCUUGUUCAGAGCAGAAAGUCCUGUUGCUACACCUAUAGUAGUGAAGGUAAUUUAAGGGUUUAAGUCCAGAAGAACUGGACACAACUGGACAUGUGUUUCUGUCUCAAUAGCUAAACCCUAACAGGACUUUUGAGAAAGCAGCAGUAGCAGUGUAUGGGGAGUUCUGUUGGGUUUAGGGCACUACAAGGCACAGGUCUGGAACUGUUAAAAUAAAUCAUCUUGUCCCCUUGCCCAAGAACUGACUGAGAGGCUAUAAGCAGUUGUGUAACCCCACAGUCUUAGGAUAAUAAAGAGGAGAUAAAAAACAAGCAGAUGUUGGAGAUUGCUGAAGACUUAGGACAAACAGGAGAAGAAAAUAAAAUUUUAAAAAAA
rnacentral:lncRNA from 1 species